rnacentral:rRNA from 1 species
AGCGUUUGAUCAUGGCUCAGGACGAACGCUGGCGGCGUGCCUAACACAUGCAAGUCGAGCGGAGACAGUGAGUAGCUUGCUAUGAGCUGUUUUAGCGGCGGACGGGUGAGUAACGCGUGAGCAACCUUUCCCAGACAGGGGAAUAACACACCGAAAGGUGUACUAAUACCGCAUAAGACCACGGGAUCACAUGGUUCUGGGGUAAAAGAUUUAUCGGUUUGGGGUGGGCUCGCGUCCGAUUAGGUAGUUGGUGAGGUAACCGG